GACAGAGGCCUCGAGCGUUAGGCGGAAUCACUGGGCUUAAAGCGUGUGUAGGCGGACCCCUAAGUGUCUUGUGAAAUCCCACGGCUCACCCGUGGAACCGCUGGGCAUACUGGGGGUCUUGGGCCAUUCAGGGGCAACUGGAACAAGCGGUGGAGCGGUGAAAUGCGUAGAUAUCGCUUGGAACGCCGACGGUGAAAACAGGUUGCUGGGAAUGUGCCGACGCUGAGACACGAAAGCCAGGGGAGCAAAGCGGGG
rnacentral:rRNA from 1 species